rnacentral:rRNA from 1 species
GUCCCCUACGGGACGCAGCAGUGAGGAAUAUUGGUCAAUGGCCGGAAGGCUGAACCAGCCAAGCCGCGUGAAGGACGAAGGUGCCAAGCAUUGUAAACUUCUUUUGUCAAGGGACAAAAUCAGGCUCGAGAGCCUGACCGAGGGUACUUGAAGAAAAAGCAUCGGCUAACUCCGUGCCAGCAGCCGCGGUAAUACGGAGGAUGCGAGCGUUAUCCGGAUUUAUUGGGUUUAAAGGGUGCGUAGGCGGGCUGUUAAGUCAGCGGUCAAAUGUCGGGGCUCAACCCCGGCCUGCCGUUGAAACUGGG